rnacentral:rRNA from 1 species
CAACAGGGAUUGCCCUAGUAACGGCGAGUGAAGCGGCAACAGCUCAAAUUUGAAAUCUGGCCUCGGCCCGAGUUGUAAUUUGCAGAGGAUGCUUUUGGUGCGGUGCCUUCCGAGUUCCCUGGAACGGGACGCCACAGAGGGUGAGAGCCCCGUAUGGUCGGACACCAAUCCUGUGUAAAGCUCCUUCGACGAGUCGAGUAGUUUGGGAAUGCUGCUCUAAAUGGGAGGUAAAUCUCUUCUAAAGCUAAAUACCGGCCAGAGACCGAUAGCGCACAAGUAGAGUGAUCGAAAGAUGAAAAGCACCUUGAAAAGGGGGUUAAACAGUACGUGAAAUUGUUGAAAGGGAAGCACUUGUGACCAGACUUGGGCCGGGCGGCUCAUCAGGGGUUCUCCCCUGUGCAUUCCGCCCGGUACAGGCCAGCAUCGGUUCUUACCGGGGGAUAAGAACGGCAGGAACGUGGCUCCCCCUCGGGGGAGUGUUAUAGCCUGCCGUACGAUACCCUGGCGGGGACCGAGGUUCGCGCUUCCGCAAGGAUGCUGGCGUAAUGGUUACUAGUGACCCGUCUUGAAACACGGACCAAGGAGUCGUCCAUUAGAGCGAGCGUUUGGGUGUAAAACCCGCACGCGUAAUGAAAGUGAAAUUAGGUGAGAGCUUCGGCGCAUCAUCGACCGAUCCUGAUGUUCUCGGAUGGAUUUGAGUAAGAGUUUUAACGGACGGACCCGAAAGACAGUGAACUAUGCUUGUAUAGGGUGAAGCCAGAGGAAACUCUGGUGGAGGCUCGCAGCGGUUCUGACGUGCAAAUCGAUCGUCAAAUAUGAGCAUGGGGGCGAAAGACUAAUCGAAC